UUUUGGUUAUAAUUAUAUUCCAUGCAACAUUUGGGACAUACUUAUACUAAAA
rnacentral:miRNA from 1 species